rnacentral:rRNA from 1 species
CUUACCACUUUGUGAUUCAUGACUGGGGUGAAGUCGUAACAAGGUAACCGUAGGGGAACCUGCGGUUGGAUCACCUCCUUACCUGAAAGAA